rnacentral:rRNA from 1 species
UUGAAUGGCCGCAGUAUUUUGACUGUGCUAAGGUAGCAUAAUCAUUAGUUUUUUAAUUGAAAGCUGGAAUGAAGGGUUGGAUGAGAAAAUAGCUGUCUCUAUUUAAUUAAAUUAAAAUUUUAUUUUUAAGUUAAAAAGCUUAAAUAAAUUUAAAAGACGAGAAGACCCUAUAGAGUUUUAUAAAUAUAUUAAAAUAUUUUAUUAAGAAUUAAAUUAAAAUAAUUUAAUUUAUUUAUUUAAUUGGGGUGAUUAAAAAAUUAAAGAAACUUUUUUUAUAUAAUUAUAUAAAUUUAUAAAUAUUUGAUCCAUUAAUUAUGAUUAUAAGAUAAAAUUACCUUAGGGAUAACAGCGUAAUUUUAUUAGAGAGUU